rnacentral:lncRNA from 1 species
CAAGAUAAUGUGUUUAUUCAGAGGACAUCUGCAGGAGAAAGUGGAAGAAUCUCAGGGACACAUACAACAAGGAGAAGAGGAUGGAGAAGGAGAAGAGGAGUGGGUCUGCAGCAGGAUCAGGGAGGAGAUGGAAGUUCUUCGCGGUCAUGGGGUUUCUGGACCCCUUCCUCACCCCACAGGAGACUAACAGCAAUAUGGUGGGGACCGUGGAGAACAUCCCCCCCCCGAGGACCAGGGACAGCCCGAAGAGGCAGCAGGGGAGUGUCAGUCAGAAGCUGUGACGGAGGGCGGUGGAAGGAGAUCGGACUACCACAUCAACGACGAUACACUCAUAGAAUCCAGAAGGUAAACAGACCGUCCUCAUUCCCAACACUGAUGCCUGUCCACAUGAGGAGGCAGGAAGGGUGGAUGUCGAGGUGGUGUAACCACCAAGCUGUUGUGUUUAAGGUUAAAUACGCCCAUCAUAUGCUGCUGCAUCAGUGUGAGUCCUCAUUCUGCAGAUAAUAACACAGAGUCACAUUAAUGGUCUCUGUGUGCGCGAGCAGGAGGUGCAACAGGCCCGAUCAUGUGUCCCUUCAAAAUAAAAGUAUCAUUCUGUCCACUGAUGUGAGGUCAGACGGCGACCUCAGUGUGUUACCAAAUGUUAUAUUAGUGUCUGUCUCUCUCAUAUAACCGUGUCUGUGUUCGACAUUAGGCUGGACAGAAAAAGGCUUCAGCUUCCUGCACACACACACACACACACACACACACACACUCCAGAUGUUGGGGAAUAAGAGACACUUAAAGAGCUGGUGAGUUACGUACAUCCGAAUAUUUCUCUCACACACCGAGUUCAACACAGAGGCAGCCAACUGGGCGGCCGAGCAUGACGAGAACAGAGAGAGAGAGUGAAGAAAGUGAGAGCGCUCACUCCUCGCUCCUCGCAGCAGCAGCGCCGCUCUCAUCUGUUCAAACAGCAAACACACAGGAACAGCUGAAGGACACUGCAGAUGUGGAGUAUGUGUUCUUAAAGUUGGGUGAAAAUACAGUUCAGGUUAAAAACACAGACGAACG